rnacentral:rRNA from 1 species
AGCGAACGCUGGCGGCAUGCUUAACACAUGCAAGUCGCGCGGGUGGAUUCGGCCAUCAGCGGCGGACGGGUGAGUAUCGCGUAGGAAUGUAUCCCGAGGUGGGGGACAACCCUGGGAAACUGGGGCUAAUACCGCAUGGGGCCUUUGGGUCAAAGCCUUAGGGCGAGUUGGGGGGAGCCUGCUUCCGAUUAGGUAGUUGGUGGGGUGAAGGCGUACCAAGCCUGCGAUCGGUAGCUGGGCUGAGAGGACGAUCAGACACACUGGGAGUGAGACACGGCCCAGAAUCUUAGGGGAGGGAGGAGUGGGGAAUAUAGGAAAAUGGGCGCAAGCAUGAUCCAGCAAUGGCGGGUGGGUGAAGAAGGUCUGAGGAUUGUAAAGCCCUUUAGGAGGGGACGAUGAUGACGGUACCCGAAGAAGAAGCCCCGGCUAACUUCGUG